GGGUUGUGAGGUUAAGCGACUAAGCGUACACGGUGGAUGCCCUGGCAGUCAGAGGCGAUGAAGGACGUGCUAAUCUGCGAUAAGCGUCGGUAAGGUGAUAUGAACCGUUAUAACCGGCGAUUUCCGAAUGGGGAAACCCAGUGUGUUUCGACACACUAUCAUUAACUGAAUCCAUAGGUUAAUGAGGCGAACCGGGGGAACUGAAACAUCUAAGUACCCCGAGGAAAAGAAAUCAACCGAGAUUCCCCCAGUAGCGGCGAGCGAACGGGGAGCAGCCCAGAGCCUGAAUCAGUGUGUGUGUUAGUGGAAGCGUCUGGAAAGGCGCGCGAUACAGGGUGACAGCCCCGUACACAAAAAUGCACAUGCUGUGAGCUCGAUGAGUAGGGCGGGACACGUGGUAUCCUGUCUGAAUAUGGGGGGACCAUCCUCCAAGGCUAAAUACUCCUGACUGACCGAUAGUGAACCAGUACCGUGAGGGAAAGGCGAAAAGAACCCCGGCGAGGGGAGUGAAAAAGAACCUGAAACCGUGUACGUACAAGCAGUGGGAGCACGCUUAGGCGUGUGACUGCGUACCUUUUGUAUAAUGGGUCAGCGACUUAUAUUCUGUAGCAAGGUUAACCGAAUAGGGGAGCCGAAGGGAAACCGAGUCUUAACUGGGCGUUAAGUUGCAGGGUAUAGACCCGAAACCCGGUGAUCUAGCCAUGGGCAGGUUGAAGGUUGGGUAACACUAACUGGAGGACCGAACCGACUAAUGUUGAAAAAUUAGCGGAUGACUUGUGGCUGGGGGUGAAAGGCCAAUCAAACCGGGAGAUAGCUGGUUCUCCCCGAAAGCUAUUUAGGUAGCGCCUCGUGAAUUCAUCUCCGGGGGUAGAGCACUGUUUCGGCAAGGGGGUCAUCCCGACUUACCAACCCGAUGCAAACUGCGAAUACCGGAGAAUGUUAUCACGGGAGACACACGGCGGGUGCUAACGUCCGUCGUGAAGAGGGAAACAACCCAGACCGCCAGCUAAGGUCCCAAAGUCAUGGUUAAGUGGGAAACGAUGUGGGAAGGCCCAGACAGCCAGGAUGUUGGCUUAGAAGCAGCCAUCAUUUAAAGAAAGCGUAAUAGCUCACUGGUCGAGUCGGCCUGCGCGGAAGAUGUAACGGGGCUAAACCAUGCACCGAAGCUGCGGCAGCGACGCUUAUGCGUUGUUGGGUAGGGGAGCGUUCUGUAAGCCUGUGAAGGUGUGCUGUGAGGCAUGCUGGAGGUAUCAGAAGUGCGAAUGCUGACAUAAGUAACGAUAAAGCGGGUGAAAAGCCCGCUCGCCGGAAGACCAAGGGUUCCUGUCCAACGUUAAUCGGGGCAGGGUGAGUCGACCCCUAAGGCGAGGCCGAAAGGCGUAGUCGAUGGGAAACAGGUUAAUAUUCCUGUACUUGGUGUUACUGCGAAGGGGGGACGGAGAAGGCUAUGUUGGCCGGGCGACGGUUGUCCCGGUUUAAGCGUGUAGGCUGGUUUUCCAGGCAAAUCCGGAAAAUCAAGGCUGAGGCGUGAUGACGAGGCACUACGGUGCUGAAGCAACAAAUGCCCUGCUUCCAGGAAAAGCCUCUAAGCAUCAGGUAACAUCAAAUCGUACCCCAAACCGACACAGGUGGUCAGGUAGAGAAUACCAAGGCGCUUGAGAGAACUCGGGUGAAGGAACUAGGCAAAAUGGUGCCGUAACUUCGGGAGAAGGCACGCUGAUAUGUAGGUGAAGUCCCUUGCGGAUGGAGCUGAAAUCAGUCGAAGAUACCAGCUGGCUGCAACUGUUUAUUAAAAACACAGCACUGUGCAAACACGAAAGUGGACGUAUACGGUGUGACGCCUGCCCGGUGCCGGAAGGUUAAUUGAUGGGGUCAGCGCAAGCGAAGCUCUUGAUCGAAGCCCCGGUAAACGGCGGCCGUAACUAUAACGGUCCUAAGGUAGCGAAAUUCCUUGUCGGGUAAGUUCCGACCUGCACGAAUGGCGUAAUGAUGGCCAGGCUGUCUCCACCCGAGACUCAGUGAAAUUGAACUCGCUGUGAAGAUGCAGUGUACCCGCGGCAAGACGGAAAGACCCCGUGAACCUUUACUAUAGCUUGACACUGAACAUUGAGCCUUGAUGUGUAGGAUAGGUGGGAGGCUUGGAAGUGUGGACGCCAGUCUGCAUGGAGCCGACCUUGAAAUACCACCCUUUAAUGUUUGAUGUUCUAACGUUGACCCGUAAUCCGGGUUGCGGACAGUGUCUGGUGGGUAGUUUGACUGGGGCGGUCUCCUCCUAAAGAGUAACGGAGGAGCACGAAGGUUGGCUAAUCCUGGUCGGACAUCAGGAGGUUAGUGCAAUGGCAUAAGCCAGCUUGACUGCGAGCGUGACGGCGCGAGCAGGUGCGAAAGCAGGUCAUAGUGAUCCGGUGGUUCUGAAUGGAAGGGCCAUCGCUCAACGGAUAAAAGGUACUCCGGGGAUAACAGGCUGAUACCGCCCAAGAGUUCAUAUCGACGGCGGUGUUUGGCACCUCGAUGUCGGCUCAUCACAUCCUGGGGCUGAAGUAGGUCCCAAGGGUAUGGCUGUUCGCCAUUUAAAGUGGUACGCGAGCUGGGUUUAGAACGUCGUGAGACAGUUCGGUCCCUAUCUGCCGUGGGCGCUGGAGAACUGAGGGGGGCUGCUCCUAGUACGAGAGGACCGGAGUGGACGCAUCACUGGUGUUCGGGUUGUCAUGCCAAUGGCACUGCCCGGUAGCUAAAUGCGGAAGAGAUAAGUGCUGAAAGCAUCUAAGCACGAAACUUGCCCCGAGAUGAGUUCUCCCUGACUCCUUGAGAGUCCUGAAGGAACGUUGAAGACGACGACGUUGAUAGGCCGGGUGUGUAAGCGCAGCGAUGCGUUGAGCUAACCGGUACUAAUGAACCGUGAGGCUUAACCUUACAACGCCGAAG
rnacentral:rRNA from 1 species